rnacentral:rRNA from 1 species
GAUGAACGCUGGCGGCGUGCUUAACACAUGCAAGUCGGACGUGAGAAUAGCAAUAUUUGAAAGUGGCAAACGGGUGAGUAACACGUGGGAACCUGCCUCGAAGUGGGGGAUAACGAUUGGAAACGGUCGCUAAUACCGCACGGUUCUGCUCUGAUGGGAAUGGAGCAGAUAAAGAUUUAUCGCUUGAGAGGGGCCCGCGGCCGAUUAGCUAGUUGGUAAGGUAAAGGCUUACCAAGGCGAUUAUCGGUAGCUGGUCUGAGAGGACGAUCAGCCACACGGGAACUGAGACACGGUCCCGACUCCUACGGGGGGCAGCAGUGAGGAAUAUUGGGCAAUGGGCGAAAGCCUGACCCAGCAACGCCGCGUGGAGGAUGAAGGCUUUAGGGUUGUAAACUCCUUUUGUGGGGGAAAAGAAUGGAUGGUACCCCAAGAAUAAGUCACGGCUAACUACGUG